rnacentral:rRNA from 1 species
GACGAACGCUGGCGGCGUGCUUAACACAUGCAAGUCGAACGGAAAGGCCCUGCUUUUGUGGGGUGCUCGAGUGGCGAACGGGUGAGUAACACGUGAGUAACCUGCCCUUGACUUUGGGAUAACUUCAGGAAACUGGGGCUAAUACCGGAUAGGAGCUCCUGCUGCAUGGUGGGGGUUGGAAAGUUUCGGCGGUUGGGGAUGGACUCGCGGCUUAUCAGCUUGUUGGUGGGGUAGUGGCUUACCAAGGCUUUGACGGGUAGCCGGCCUGAGAGGGUGACCGGCCAAAUGGGGACUGGGAUACGGCCCAGACUCCUACGGGAGGCAAGAGGGGGGAAUAUUGCAAAAUGGGCGGAAGCCUGAGGCAGCAACGCCGGGUGCGGGAUGAGGGCCUUCGGGUGGUAAACCUCUUUCGCCUGUGACGAAGCGUGAGUGACGGUAAUGGGUAAAGAAGCACCGGCUAACUAAGU